AGUCAACGCUUUAACCACUAGGCAAUCCCACUGACCGCUUCAUAAUGACAGGCAGUCCGCAUCUGUUCAGUGGUUAUGUAACCUAACUAGUCUCUUCAGUCUUGCACAUAAUAUCUUUACUUUCCCUCAGAUUUUCUUCAACCACUAUGUUUUGUUUCAAACAAAGAUUAUCCCACAGCUUCACAGAUAUGCAGGUACGAUUUCGCUAUUUACCA